AACGUAGGAGGCAAGCGUUAUCCGGAUUUACUGGGCGUAAAGCGUGUGCAGGCGGUUGUCCAAGUUGGGUAUGAAAGCGCUCCGCUUAACGGGGCGAGGCUAGACGAGACUGGGCGACUAGAAUCAGACAGAGGCAAGCGGAAUUCCGGGUGUAGUGGUGAAAUGCGCAGAUAUCAGGAAGAACACCCGUGGCGAAGGCGGCUCUCUGGGACGGUACUGACGCUGAGACGCGAAAGCGUGGGGAGCGAACAGG
rnacentral:rRNA from 1 species